UAUAUACUCCCUCUGUUCUAAAUUACUUGUCUUGGAUUUGUCUAGAUACAAAUGUAUCUAGACUCAUUUUAGUGCUAGAUACAUCCGUAUCUAGACAAAUCUAAUACAAGUAAUUCGUAAUGGAGUAUAUG
rfam:Triticum aestivum genome assembly, contig: Triticum_aestivum_CS42_TGACv1_scaffold_114121_2AS